ACAUCCAGCGAACUUGGCAGAGAUGCCUUGGUGCCUUCGGGAACGCUGAGACAGGUGCUGCAUGGCUGUCGUCAGCUCGUGUUGUGAAAGUGUUGGGUUAAGUCCCGNAACGAGCGCAACCCUUUAUCCUUUGUUGCCAGCGAUUCGGUCGGGAACUCAAAGGAGACUGCCGGUGAUAAACCGGAGGAAGGUGGGGAUGACGUCAAGUCAUCAUGGCCCUUACGAGUAGGGCUACACACGUGCUACAAUGGCGCAUACAAAGAGAAGCGACCUCGCGAGAGCAAGCGGACCUCAUAAAGUGCGUCGUAGUCCGGAUCGGAGUCUGCAACUCGACUCCGUGAAGUCGGAAUCGCUAGUAAUCGUGGAUCAGAAUGCCACGGUGAAUACGUUCCCGGGCCUUGUACACACCGCCCGUCACACCAUGGGAGUGGGUUGCAAAAGAAGUAGGUAGCUUAACCUCCGGGAGGGCGCUUACCACUUUGUGAUUCAUGACUGGGGUGAAGUCGUAACAAGGUAAGCGUAGCGAG
rnacentral:rRNA from 1 species